rfam:Triticum aestivum genome assembly, contig: Triticum_aestivum_CS42_TGACv1_scaffold_624411_7DS
AUGGUACUCCCUCCGUCCAGAAAAGCUUGUCCCUUAAAUGGAUGUAUCCAGCACUAACUUGAUGCUAGAUACAUCCAUUUGAGGGGCAAGCUUGGACAAGUUUUUUCGGACGAAGGGAAUACGAA